rnacentral:lncRNA from 1 species
AUUUGAUGGCGAGAUAAAAUAGGUAUAUAACGAGCUGAAGAUUUGACCUUUCACAGAGACUAGUGUGGAAGUCGAGUUGCAUUGAGCUUGAAAAAUCUAACAAUUCACAAAAUUUUCAACAUGGACGCCAAGAAAAUCAUCAUUUUUGCUGUCAUUUCCUGCGUACUGCUAUCAGUAUGCAUUGACCAAACAUCUGCCCAAGGGGGGCUCCGGUGGGGACGAGAAUAUGAAGCAAUGAAUCAAAAGGAAGCUCCUCCAGUGGAAUGGCCCGACAUGAAGAGAAACUUCCUGAAAAAGAGAGCUUUCAAGUCCGAUGAACGAGCAUAGAAUGGGUUACAGCACCUAAUGUCCACAAGACGUUAUCGAACCAAAUUCAUAAAAAUGUCAAUAAUUCGUAGCUCAAUAAACAAACCAACACUGAAGUGUAUAUUAUUUUCUAGUGUAAGUGUGCAGAGAAAAUAAAAUUCUUGCCCUUGAAUCA